GUGGGCAACUGGGGCUCAGUCCCAGUGGGGCCCUCUGGGGAACUGCAUAGACCGUGCCUCUGAUGUGCUAUGGGACACAGAAGCUGGGGUAUUUAUCUCCCAAUUCUCACCCCUCAUUAGUUGUGGGUUGCCCUUCACUGAUUCCCUUGCCUUUCGAGGAGGUUUUACACGUGGGUUAAGCAAACUCCAAAGCAGCCAGAGAAAACCCUUGGAGGGAGAGGUCUUGAGGCCUUGAGGUUGGGAUGUCAGUGGUUUGGGAAUUAUCCACUGCAGCCUCAGAUGAACUCAGAGGUGAGCAGAAAGGAUAUGGUCUGCGUCUGCCACAAUGCAGAACACUGAGCAAAACCCAACCAUUAUCAAAAGAGAUAAACACCUUAGUUUCGUUAUCAUGAGUGGUGCCUCUUUUAAGACCAGUGUUCCAAGGAGCAUACUUUAGGAAAAUGUGCUUCUUUGUACUCGUGAUGAUAUUCUAAAAGCAUUGGGCUGAAUAAUGACGAAGAUUUGUGAAAUUUAACAACUGGUUAUUUGUCACAUAACAAUUUUUCAAAGUUGACCUACCUGACUACUUGUUUCUUUGUCUUCUUUCGUUUUGUGAGGAAGAUUGGCCCCGAGCCAACAUCUGUUGCUAAUCUUCCUCUUUUUGCUUGAGGAAGAUUGUCGCUGAGAUAACAUCUGUGCCAACCUCCCUCCAUUUCAUGUGGGACACUGCCAAAGCAUGGCUUGACGAGCAGUGCUAGAUCCGUGCCCAGGAUCUGAACCCAUGAACCCCUGGCCACUGAAGUGGAAUGUGCAAACUCAACCAGUAUGCCACCAGGCCGGCUCCUUAUUUGUCUUUGGAGGUAUAAAAAAUAAAUAAAAGCAAAGAAGACUCUGACAAAAAUGUCUUCAUAUAGGAUUACAACUGUUAAUAUCUUCUCAUAUUUUAUUAUAUAUGAAGUAGAGAUAAAGUUUACCUCAACCCUGCCCUCAAGCCUUCAAUCUCAUUCUCCCUUUCCAGUCUCAGAGGUAACCAUUAUCAAGUUAAUCAGUACCAUUCUUUUUUCAUACAUUUUCAUACAUAUGUGUAUUCAUAACAUCUGUACAUAAUGAGUAUAUAUACACACAUAAAUGCUAUAUGCAUGCAUGUAAAUAGUACACUUUUAUGCCUUUUUUACUAAUCUAUAUGAAUAUACUAGAUUUAGUUUGUUUUGUUUAAUAGCUGCAUAACAUUUUAUCUUGUGUAUCACUUUUGGACGUAAGCGUUGUAUAUUGUAUAUCUCUCCCUCCAACAAUUAUAAGUAUUGAUGAAUAAACAUGUUUUCAUGUGCACGUCUGUGAGAGCUCUUUGAGGUCAUCCCUCCAGGGUUGUCAUCACUGAGGUAUAAGAUAUGAGGUAUAUUUACGUUUUUCCUAGAUACUGCUGAUUGCAUCCCAAGGUGGCUGUAACAGUUUUCAUUUCCAUCAGCCGAGUGUGGGCGUACCAUUUCUCCUAAAUUCUUGCCAACACUUUAUUAGGUUAAAUAAUUUUGCUAGUGUGAUAGAAGAAAAAUAAUAUAUCUGUGUUAUUUUAAUUUGAAUUUCUCUAAUACCAAGAGAGAAUUAGCAUAUUUUCACAUUUGUAUUUUGAGUUGGUUUUGGGAAUUGCUUGUUCUUGUAUUUUAUUCAUUUUAUCAUUGUGAUUUUUGUCUUUUUCUCAUGGAUUGAAGUUCUUUAUAUAUUCAGGAUAUUAUUUCUUUGUUGGAUAAUACAUUGCAAAAACCUUCUCUGGCUAACAUUUUAACUUUAUAUUAAAAUUAAAAUGUUUAUUUAAAAUUAAAUGUUCUUAAUGUGUCUUGUUUAAUCAAUUCUAAUGUCAUAAAUGUAUUUUCCAAAAUUUCAGAGGCUUGUUUUUCAUAUUUAGAUAUUUAAUGUAUGUGGGACUAAUUUUUGUUCCUGUUGUGAAAUAGUAAAUUUAAUUUUCUUUUCCUUAGGGUCACUUUUUGCUAAUAUAAUUUAUUAUAACCUCUGUAUUUUCCUCACUGGUUCAUAUACCACAUAUAUUAU
rnacentral:lncRNA from 1 species